rfam:Beta vulgaris subsp. vulgaris chromosome 2, whole genome shotgun sequence.
GAGCAAGGUCAUUAAAAUUAGAAUGGUGGUACAUUGCAUUGAAGGUUGGCGAUAUAGAAUUAGAGCGAUUCUCCGUGCCUUUCGAACUUGUUGCUUGUGUCGAUUGUGGCCUCGAACAAAUUGCUACAUC